UGGGUGUGAAAAAGGCUCUUUUUGUUGUCAUCACCUCCUGCACUGCAGCUCUUCCAUCCCUGAACUGAGCAUUACCACCUUGGCUCAGCUGGAAAGGCAUUUUGCAGGGUUAUCUAUCGAAGUUACAGCAGAGUGUAGGCGAGUGAGGGCACAGUUAAUUCCUCUGACCUUCACUUUUUAACAUGGGUGUGAAAGGUCAUCUUUGAAGUCACUGUGAAGGUCAGAGUGCUGAGUGCCUGAAGCAAAAUUAAUUAACUGAACCAUAGUUGGAACAUCAUUUCAGCUCUGCACAUAGACAGAAAUGCUGGGUUCUGUAGUGACUUGAAAGUGCUGCUCCUCUUUACAAACAUGGGCUCAUCCUGGCAGCUCAAAAAGACCAACAAGUGUAACCUACACCUAACAAUGAUCAUUUUUUAAGCUCAUGUCAUCAAAGAGAAUAAAAAGAAAGAAACAAAUCUGAAUUGCUUUAAUUGCUGAAUUGCACUGGAAUGAGUUGCCUCUACGCAUGACAGCUGUACAUUUGUAGAGACCAUUGUUCUUUUUCUAAAACACCAACAAAUCACUCUAUUUUCCAGCACCCAAAGUGAUUCAGCUGGAAGAAAACACUUUGGAAAUCACAUGGGAGCCUCUACAGCCGAUGAAAGGAGAUUCCAUUGUUUACAUCCUUCAACUUGCUGCUGGCAGAGAGUUUGAUCAGGUGUACAAGGGCCCCGAGCCGUGCUUCCGGCUGCCGGCCGCGCAGACGAACUGUGAGUACCGCGCGCGCGUCUGCGCCGGCCGCCAGUGCCACGACCUGCCGGGCUGCCCGGAGCUCUACGGCCCCUACAGCCCCAGCAGCGUGUUCUGCUGCCAGCGCCGGNCCGGGCCCCGCCGCAGCCCCGGCCGGCGCCGAGCUGGCGCAGAGCGGCAAGCGGCUGCGCGAGGAGCGCGUCAUCGCCGUCGUGCUGCUCUGCGGCUUCGCCGUGGUCGCCAUCCUCUUCGCCGUGGUCAUCCAGUACUUCGUCAUCAAGUAGGGCAGAGCUGGCCCCGCUCAGCUGUCUGUACAGAGCUCUCUGGGGUAUUUAUGGGUAGUUCAAUGAAAUCCUAGCUGGGAACCCCUCGCUCCGUGCGUUCCCGCUCCUGCUGCUGGGGCUGGCUCGGCAGAUCCUUACCAAAUGCUGGACACUGAUUUCCUGUAGAAAGGGUGAUCCUGGGGCCUCUGCAAUCAGGGUGAGCUGUUAGAGAACAGCAAUCAGCUGCCUUACGGUGCACACUGGGGGGGUGUGCACGCUCCUCCUCUCUCCCCAUCCCAGCCAGUUGGAGAGGGAAGGCAUUGCUAGAACAGUCCUUUCCCAGCACCACCAGAGCAGCGGGAGGCGAUGGCUGUUCCAUCAGGUUUUGCUGUAGUUUGAUAUCCAUGAAAUCCAGCAGCACAAGUGCUUGAGCUUAGAGCAGAACUGCAGAGCCUACUAGAGCAUACCACAUUUACUAGACUGUAGAAGGAAAGCAGAAUAUUGACUUAGUGAUAUUACUACUUUACAGUUAUUUUAAUACUUGGGAUUCAGUAAUAAUCAUUUCAAGUGUUGGAGUAGAGGGUGCCAGGGUUUUUUAGGGUUUUAAUCCAAACCAAUGCCAGCAGGACGCGGCGCUCGGCCGGGAUGCCCAGGAAAGGCUCUGCCCGGAAUGUUCCUGCUGUCCUGAGCAGCUUUGGCCCAAUCCACAUUUCACUCUCAGUGCCUGAGAGAAAAGUAAUUCCCUGUGCAGCGUGCUCAGAACAGCACAGGAGUUGUCUUUAAGGAGAAAGAGUGCAUUUAUGAUAAAUGUUACACUAUUUGGCUCAAACUGAGCAAAUGUUUUUGUACUAUUAUUAACCUAAAAAAUAAAAGUUCAGCCUGCUUUGGGUGCCCUUCUAACUUAACCCCAACGAGCAAAUUGUACGUGAGAGAACUCUUUUUAGCUAACGUUUAUACAAUGUUUUAAACUUGCUAUCCCAGUGGUAGCAGCUUCACAUUCCAUGGUUUUCCUGUUAGGAAUGUUCAGCCUGCUAUGAACUUGUCUGAAACUCGUCCUGGUCGGCUGGGGGAUAUUUUUGUGGACACUGUGCACUACAUUUGACUGUUGUGUUCCAUCUGCUUGUGAAUCCCUGAGGAGGAGCCUGACAGCUCCUGGCUCCAUUAGAUCAAAGCUUUUGAAAGCUGGAAUUCACAAAUUUCCAAGGUUUCAGGAUGGGUCUUGCCAACAGCAUUUGGAACAUGCCACAGAAUAGUAGAUUUAGGGUAUUUUGCAAAGUCUGUGGCUCCACUUCGGCCAUCUGAGCGAUGCACUUGUGGGUGGGAGGGUGGAUGUGACAGAGCUACAGGCGAUGUGUUUCCAGUAAUUAAUUAAUCACUUUUAAGGGUCUUUCUCCUACAGCAGUUGAGGAAUAACGUUGUGUUAGAGUUUGAGGCAUUGUGUUGUAUUUCAGAUGUGGAAAACCUAAAUUAUGACCUAGUAUCACUUAAUCCUCUUCACAGUAGAUUGAUGGUGCAAUCUGAAAUUAAUCUUUUCAAAACAUACUCUUCAUUUUUGUACUCUAUUUAUUUUGAUUAAAAGUCCUGGAAAGAAACAAAAAUGUAUGUUUGAAUGUAUUGUUCUACUUGUAGCAGAACUUUAAGUUAAUCAUUUAUUAUAUCAUAGAAAUCUCUCCCUGCAGUGUCAGAGUUUUAUACAGAUAUUAGUCUCUAGUUUGCAGAAGAGUUUACAAUCUGUCUUUAUUUUCCUCAUAGUCUCCCUUUAGCAGAUAAACUGCCAGCAGCAAAUCUCCGUUGCCAAAGGGUUCUUUCUUAACUCCUUAGAACCAGCUUGUAGAGGUUUAUUUGGCAAUAAUAAUCCUGAAACUAGGAUGGCAGAGUAAAUACUAACAGGUCACCACUGCUAAAAAAUGAAAUCAAAUCCUUUUGUAGUUGCCACAAAAUGCUCAUAUUUCCAGAAAAUAUCCAGGAUUUAUACUGCAAUACAGAUUUUCCAUCAGCUGUUGUCCAUUCCAGAAGGAUGUACCCUCGUGGCAUUAAUGUAUUUUAGGCAUCUUCAGUUUUCUUGUGUUGUCAUUUUUGAGGUAUCUCAAACGUAUGUUAAAGCUGCCAUGCAUUGUAUUACUAAAUUGUAACUAUCAAAUAGAUAAUAUAUUUAAUACAGCCAAUAAAUAAUACAAAUGUAUUCAGAUUUGA